CAAAGCGGGAACUAGACGGGGGACAGGGAGAGUGACAGGGCGGCCGGGGGAGGGCCGGAAACGGAGAGGAGAGGCUGGGGACGCCCCUGAGCCUGGCUCAGACCCGGCGCAGGGCGGGACGCCGCCCCAGCGGCUGCUCCCUUUCAGUCGUCUGAAGAAAAGCCCAUUCGGUUGAGAGAGGCGGUGGACUGUGUUGUUGCUGGUUGUGAACGCGGCCUUGGCGCUGGCAGUAGAGUUGUGGAGGUGAAGGGUGAAUGACUGUGCACAUUUCUCACGUCAGUCACUGCACUGCCCAGUCGGGAGUGGGGGGAAAUCGAUGAACGUUCGUGGGUGGGAAGUGAGUUCCUCAGUUACCGCGACCUCUCCACGCCGCAGUGCUCUUAGGAGGAGAAGAAGGGGUGUGAAAUCAGAUGAAGUACAGCUUUCCCACGAUCUCACCGCAGGCGCUGGGAAAACGCCACCGAGCGGACGGCUCAACUGUAAAAUAGUGUUACUGAGAGCUCUUGACCCUUAGAUCGCCGAGUGAUCAGUCCUAACAGUGUUGAGGAUUUCUGCAAAGGACCCGAUAUUAAAACAUUUUUCUAGUCUCUGUGGUUAGGUAACACUUGAAAUCCUGGAGUUUUUAACUUUAGAACCCAUUUUGUCCACUGAUACUCGUGGAAGGUCGAAGUAGAGGUUAGGACAACCAGGAGAUGCUUGAAUAAAAAAGAUACUGAAUAUUACACUUUUGUGCUUCAAAACAAGCUUCACCCUGGACAAAAUCAUCCUGGGUGAAGGGGGUUCAGAUGUCAGUGAUCCCAGCUCUGAGGUUUUCCCACAGGAUGUAUCAGAAUAGAGAUGCGGGUGUUUAUCAAAAAAGUUGAGAAACACUCCUGUAGUCGAAUCCAUACAUUCAACACAGGGUAAAAUAGUCUCACUGCUUCUAGCACCUCUCUUAGUUCAUCACUUAUUGCCUGCAAGGUAGAGGUCACAUUCCUUAAUUUGCCAUUCUAAUUGGGGGGAAAAGCCUCUAGGCUUUUUGAGUGAUCUUCCCUUUCUCCUGCUGUUGUUCUGAGCUCUUGCCAAACUCACCAGUUUACCUCACCUGCCUUCACUUUUUUUCUGGUACAAUUAUUAACUCAAAUAAAUGCCUACCUCUCCCUUUUCUUUCUAAUCCCACCCUGCUCCCCACCUCUGUAGGAAAUGUACUGUCAGCCACUUUAGUUCAAGUUUGUAGAUUAUUACCUAUCACUAUACUGGAAACCCUGGGGCGUAGUGGUUAAGAGCUAUGGCUGUUAACCAAGAGGUUGGAAGUUUGAAUCCACAAGGUGCUCCUUGGAAACCCUAUGGGGCAGUUCUCUGUCCUUUAGGGAAUUGACUCCAGGCAAAGGGUUUGUUUUGUUUUUGGUCACUAUACUAAAUAGGAAAUCCAGGUGGGCUUAGUGGUUAAGUGCUGCUGCUGCUGCUAACCAAAGGGUCGGCAGUUCAAAUCCACCAGGUGCCCCUAUGAGGGAGUUCUACUCUGUACUAUAGGUUCACUGAGUCAGAAUCAACUCAACGGGUUUGGUUUGGUUUUUAAGUACUAAAUAGUUGUUGAUUUUUGUAGUUUUUUGUUGUUGUUGUUUUUAUAUUUAUUUGCUCUUUGAGGAUUUUGUCUUCUUCCUUGCUGUCAUUUCUUCCUGUCAAGCUUUCCUUUCCUUGCCCCCAGUGUCUAAUACAUUACAGGCUGGAAAAAGUCAUGAAACUGAAGAGGACUGCAAGUAGAAUGGGAGCAAAUAGUCUCUGAGGAAGGCCAUGAGUUGGUGGUGGUUUUUGUUCUGUUGUUUGUGAGAAAGGAAACUGAGUGAAGGGUAGAUUUGCUGAUAUUUGUUUUAGAUUCUCAGGGAUUUGUCUGUUCGUUGUUCCAGAUGGGGAAACAGUCUAAACAGGAGAAUUCACUCCCACUUAGGUGAAGUAUUAGCCACGCUGAUGUUAAAAUUGAAGGCCAAAUGAGGUCUGCAGUAGAAGAAAAGGGAAGUUUUAAAUCUGGGGUCUGUUCAUACAUUUACUGUGAAGUGAUUUAUCAAUAAUGGUUCAUUAACAUAAGUAUCAGCACAGUACAUGGACGUGUUAUUUGAACCUACGUUCUUUCUAUGAAGCGGAGUGUUAAAUUCAGACAUAGUUGGAGAAAUUCUAAAAUAUUGCUAUUUUCUCCCAACACACUGAUAAUGAAAAACUGUCAAAUAAAUCUUGAGCAAAGGAACAAAAACACCUAGUAAUUUUGCUUCUCUUUGCAGAAUAACAAGGAAGCCCCAGAAGCUGUAUAAUGAACUUCUCUUUGGCUAUCCAGCCUCGGAACCUCCUUUCUAUAUUUGGAGAAUUCCCCAUCUUGUGAAUAUUGGGGUUUAGACAUUGUCUUGAUGAGGACUGGAUUUCUCCACGACUGUUCUAGCUUCCAGGGCUACUGAGAAAUCAGACCCCAGUCUAAAUGCUAGCUAUCUGCAGCUGACCGGCUUCCCCCAAUUCUUUGGAAUUUUCUCUUUAUCUUCAAUGUUCUGAAAUUUGAAUUUAUCUCCUAUAUGCACCACUGCGACUGUCCCUUAACUGGUAUCCUCUUACUUUUUCAACACAUGACACAACCUCGCUUGCUGAGAGUGAAGAGGACUUGAAGCACUUACUAAUGAAGAUCAAAGACCACAGCCUUCAGUAUGGAUUACACCUCAAAGAAAACAAAAAUCCUCACAACUGGACCAGUAAGCAACAUCAUGAUAAACGGAGAAAACGCUGAAGUUGUCAAGGACUUCAUUUCACAGUCAACACCCAUGGAAGCGGCAGUCAAGACAUCAAAGGACACAUCGCAUUGGGCAAAUCUCCUGCAAAAGACUUCUUUAAGGUGUUAAAAUGCAAAGACGUCACCUUGAAAACUAAGGUGCGCCUGACCCAAGCCUUGGUGUUGUCAAUUGGACAAUGAAUAAAGAAGAUCAAAGAAUUGAUGCCUUUGGAUUGAGGCAAAGGAUACUGAAUACACCAUGGACUGCCAAAAGAAUGAACAAAUCUGUCUUGGAAGAAAUACAACCAGAAUGCUUCUGAGGAGCAAGGAUGGUGAGACUGCGUCUCACGUAACUUUUGGACAUGCUGUCAGGAAGGAUCAGUCCCUGGAGAAAGACAUCAUGCUUGGUGAAGUAGAGGGUCAGAGGAAAUGAGGAAGGCCCUCAACGAGAUGGAUCGGCACAGUGGCUGCAACAAUGGGCUCAAGCAUAACCAUGACUGUGAGGAUGGUGCAGGACUGGGCAGUGUUUUGUCUUGUUGUACACUGGGUAGCUGUGAGCUGGAACUGACUCGAUGGCACCUAAGAACAACAACAAUCCAUAAAACUGCUGUCCUAAAUUACAGGGUUGAUCAUAAGAUUCCUUACCAUUCCAUUUCAUAGCUGUGUUGAGCAACACUACUGAAAUGGCCUGAGUUAAGUGAGUACGUGUGUCAGGGUAGUCCACUGCGAAGGAACCCUGGUGGCGCAGGGGUUUAAGCGCUAGGCUGCUAACCAAAAGGCCGGCAGUUUGAACCCACCAGCCACUCGGGGAAGAAAGACGUGGCAGUCUGCUUCUGUGAAGAUUUCAGCCUUGAAAACCUGAUGGGGGCAGUUCUACUCUGUUCUAUAGAGUUGCUAUGGGUUGGAAUCGACUUGACGGCAAUGGGUUUUUUUAUUGAUACUGUAACAAACAUCUUGCUUCUACAAAUUUUAGUUAUGGGAUUUACCAAACAUACAGAAGCAGGCAGAAAAAUUAGGAUAAUCAUCCCAGUGUACCCUUCUCUAUCUUUGACAACAUCGAAUCCAGGCAUUAUCUCAUUUUCAAAUGCUACAGUAUACACCUCUAAAAGAUAAGGACUCUUUCAUAAAACAUAUUCCCUAAAAAUAAAAUCAGUAAUUUGAGAAGCCUCUUAAAGCAUACCUUCUUUUCUUCCAACAAAUUCUUUCACUGGGAUUAAUUCCUAGUAGUGGGGAUAAUAGCAGCAGCAGCUAACGUGAGCGCUUUCUGUGUGCUAACUACCGUUCCAGGCAUUUUAGAUGUAUUCACUCAUUCGGCUUGCUCAACUCUGAUCACUGAUUUGAAAACGCAAACAUUUCCCUAUUUACUUCACGUCCUGUCAAACCGUAUUCUGAAAAGGCUGCUCUGACUUGGCACACCACCAGCAAUAUUUGGGCAUGCUGGUUUGACUGUAACCUCAUUGGCAUCAUACACUGUCAUUUUACUAAAACUAAGAAAAAAAUUUUUUGAGACACUAGAAAAAAAAAAAUCAAUUGACACAACUGGGGAAAAUAUGUAUAUGAGUAUUAGAUUACAGCAAGCAUGCAGAUGCGCCCAAACUAAACACUUUUGAGAGUGAAAGUGGGCGUAAGAAGCACGCCCAGGCUAUCAGCGUAAAGCAGCUGUGUCGUCAGGACACCGCCAAGUGCAGUGACCUAGCUUAGACAGUAUUAAAUUGUUUACUAGAUGCCAUAAUAGCACCAUGGUUAUGUUAUAGAAAAACGAGAAGUCCAGGGGAGGAUCAUGUUUAUGUGUAUAAAAGAUUAAAGAGUUUCUUUUGGACAAAACAUAAAACUUACUUUUGACAGUUCUCCUUCCCUGGUGACAAAAAUAAAAAUUUCUUAGUGUAGAACUAGCCAAUGUGGCACAAACCUAUCUUUCUAGGUUCACUUUAUAUGUUUUCACCUUCUCAUGUUCCAAAUAAUAGAUUACAUAUUCUUUUGGCAAACAUUUAUUAAGCACCUAGUUUGUUAGGUACUGUUUCAGAUAUCAAUGUUAACAUCCUGAAUCCUUGACUUUAACAGGCUCUGUCUACUGGGAUCUAGAAACUUUUAAAAAUAGCUAAUUAAAAUACAGUAUGGUGAGCCUGGACCAUCUUUUGCUAUAAAAUAAAGAGUACUCAAACAAUGACAGACAUGUCAAAAGGACACAGGGGCCAGCUGCAAGGUGCCCCCACUGGCCAGAUCUAGUACAACUGGAGCAUAAAAUAUAAAAUAAGAACCCAUGAAUUCAUAAUGAUAAAGAUAACAGAGAUAAGUAAAUGGAAGUGAAAGGUGCAAAAUGGAGACUACUAAACAUAUAGACGGAAUGACGGAGCAAGAAAAAAAAAAUCACCAGUCUGUAACCAACAAGGUAAAAACUGAUUCAGACAAGAAUUAUCAAGUUGGUCAAAGUUUGAUGAGAAAUAAAGAGGUUUACAGAGUCUUAAAACAUCUCCCUACAAAUUCCUUAAUAACUACAAAGAGAAAAAUACGAAUAAGACAGUGCAGAAACCAGGUUUAACAUUCUAACCAAAUGAUCGUAGUUGAUGUCACUAGUACGAGGCAGAAAGAGCCCUGGUGGAGCACUGGUUAAAUAGUUGGCUGCUAACCAAAAGGCUGACGGAUGGAAUGGCUGCUCCCUGGGAGAAAGACCUAGCGAUCUCCUCCCGUAAAGAUUAUAGCCUAGGAAACCCUAUGAGGCAGUUCUACUCUGACCUACAGGGUCACUGUAAGUCGGAACCGACUUGACAGCACAGCAACAACAGUUUAUCACGUGCCCUUUCACACAUUACACAGGUAAGGAUAACCUGAACUGAAUCAUGAGGGAACAGAAACAGAGAGACAGUCUAUAAAAACUGGGCUGUACUUUCAAAAUAUGUCAGUGUCAUGAAAGAAAAAGAAAGGCUGAGUUCCAGAUGAAAGGAGAGUGAAAACAUGACUACUAAACAUAAUAACAUGUGAUCCUGGACUGGACCUUGUACCAGAAAAAAAAGGCUACAAAGCACAUUAGUGAGAGAAUUGAUAAAAUCAGACUAUGGACCAUAUCAUAUAUCAGAUAAAAGUACUGUAUGGAUGUUAGGUUUUUAAGUUUCUGAAUAUGACAACUGUACUCUGGUUCUGUUCUCAGGAACUCACUAAGCAAUAAGAGUAAAGGGGUGUGAGGCAACCUACUCUCAAAUGGUGUAGGGAAAAAAAAAAAUCUAUAUAUACGGGUGGGGCGGGACAGAGAAAGAGAAUGAUAAAGCACACGUAACAAAACGCUGAAAAACUGGGUCAAGGGCAUCUGGAAAUUAUUUAAACCAUUUUUCUGCAAACAUUCUAUAAGUCUGAAUUAUUUCAAAGUAAAGUUUAAAAACCUGCAAUGUGGUAAGUGCUAUGCUAGAGGCAGGCAAGGGUGGACUGAGGUGCUUAAUCCCAAGUGAUACAGCGAGGGGGUCAGGGAUGGUUUUCUGGCAAAAGUGACUGCUGAGAAGUCUUAACUGAGUCUUCACUAGUAGGACCAAGUCAGUUUGUUAGGUCAGAGCACGGAGGAUGUCUGGGGAAGGAGGUUCCAUUUAAUGGAAAACAUGGAGGCACGAGAGAAAUGCUCUGACUUGGGAGCUGCCAAGUCGUUCAAUAGAGCUGGAGCAUAAAAUACAAGGGGUGAGUGGCUAGGAGGAGGCAAGGCCGACCCUAAGAGCCUUUAUGUCUAGUGGGGGAGUUUAGCUUUUUUUCUAAAAAUGUAUGUGUGUGUUGCGGGGUGGGGUGGGGGAGGAGGGAUUCAAGAACUUUAAGUAGGAAAGUGACAUUUCAGAUGAAGUAAAAAAAUGAGCAACAAGAAGGGACUGAAUUAGGGCAGCAGGAAAAAGAAGAGGAGAGACGCAAGACGGAGAGAAGACGGUGGGCAGAUGAAGAGUGAGGGGAAUGCAACUCCCUUGGAAAAACUGGCUACAAUAGUAGUACCGUUUCCACAGGACGCAAGAUUUAGGGAAGAAAAAUGAAGGGUGAAGAGUAAUUCUGGAGGCCUUGAGUUUGAGAUAUCUGAAUAUAUUCAAGUUGGCAAGUGUGCACACACUUGAAGCUCAGAAGCUGGUUGGCGUAGCCUGGCAGUGGGUACAGGAUGAGUCACAGAGGAAGAGUGUGAGGAAGACUGAGGAGAGCUCUGAGGAGUGAAUUCUGGAGAACUUGAACAUUUACAGGCUGAGAAAGGAGAAGCAAACUAUAAAGGCAACUGACCGGUGGGUUCAGAAACAGAAGAAAGUCAAGAACAAAUAUUGUUUUACACACUGAAGAAAUAGUUUCAAGGGAGAGGGCACAGUCAACAUCAAACGCCAGACAAGUGAUUCAGGCUCUACAGCGCCACAGCUCUACGCCUUUCUUUGCUCCUUCCGUCCCCUUGGCCAGCCGGCCCUAACCCUAUGAAAGUACCACUCAUCUUCCAGACCGGGCUUAAGUGUCACUUUCCCCAGGAAACCUUCCCUGGUUCCAAAUCAGAAUCCAUCUUUUUCACUCCCUUGUCCUUCUGGUGAAGCCCCUUCCCCAUUUCACCUUGCGUCACAACUACUGCUGCACAUGCCUGUUCCUGCCGCUGAACGUAAAGUUCACUAACACAGGUUCUCUCUCGUGUCUGUGAAUUCCCUACAGAACUAGAGCUACGGCUGGCACGUAAGGCCCUAAACAAUGCCAUUCGUAAGGCUUUAUUUAGCACUGUCUAAAAUGGAAAGAAAUAAUAUCCAGACAUAUAAAGCUCACAACUCUACAAGCAAACAACUUGUAAAACAAGAUGCCUGCGCGGAUGACGUGUUCAGUCUGAUGCUCUCACUAACAGCGAGCAAGUUAAAUCAGGCUAAGUCAACGGGCGCCACCGGCAGGCUGCGACGGACGUUCAUGCACAGGGAGGUUACUCUGAAAUGCUGCUUUCCAGACACUACACCAAGAAUAUUUUGAUUUUUAAUUUUGAGAGUCUGACUUAAAAAUACUCUCGUUAAAUACUUCUUGAGAGACAGCAUGUCUGUGCACGGCACAGGUGUAACAAUGGACAGCCUAUGCUGCUUUGGCAGUACUCAGGUAUGAAAAAUCGACAAGAUCUUCUUUAACACACUUACUUCUGGAGUUAAGUGUACGUCCAUAGGUGUGUAUGUUGGCCAGUACCCCAUUGUGAGGAUAUUGACUGUCAGGUCUAUAGAGCCUGGAUCACUUUGAUUCUGCAUAUACUAAAAACAAAUAGAGAAAUCCAAGAUAAACAAUUUAUAAAAAAAUAAACAGUGCAAUUUAAAAAAGUUUAACAUUUGUCUGCAUUAAUUUUAGUCUUUAGAUAUAUCCCACUGAAGAUACACGGCCAAAUAACGUGUUCUAAAGUCACCUGAAAUCUUUCCUCUUCUCUACGUCAUCAGUGUAAUAUUAGACUCAUUUAAAUCAAAGUUUUUAGGGGUUCCUUUUCUUUUUCCUUUGCAUUUAUGGUAUCAUAUAUAUAAAACAUUAACGGUAAUUUUUAAGGAUGAGAAGUUUCUUAUUUUACAUAAUCUAAAAUUUUUAAGAAGUUGCUCUACUUGAGAAAACAAGUUCACCUGCUUAAAAUGAACCAUGAUGUCCUUUGAAAGUUCCAUGUCCUUGAACAUGCCCUCCAGCUUGCUGGUAAAGGCAGCACCACACUCUGUUACAAAGUAAAGGUGUUGUUGAAAAUGUACCAGAAGCAACAAUUACCACUGCAACGAAUUCUCCACACGCAGGGGAAAUGCCCGGGUCCGCACACGCUUACCGUGUUUGAGUUUUGACAACAUAGAUUUUUCAGCAUCCACUGAGGCACUUUUCCCAACAAGGAGUCUUUUUGCCAAAUCUUUUUUAUAAAAUGCUUCAAAGACAUCUUUGCCUGUUUAUAACCAAACAAGAACAGUAUGAGAUAUUAGACAGUUAGCACACAAAUAUAAUACUUUGACUGCUGAAAAACCCUAAAAAGUCCUCACCUUAAUGCACAUCAGCUUUAAUGAUACUGAAAUUUCUUGUGUUAAAUUUCCACAAAAGAAUACUUUCAACUCAAUCAGUGGCUCUAUCACUCUGUUUUCUGUAUUAACGUGAAAAUGCAAAAUGUUUCUGCCAAUUUACUCAAGAAAAAACGGGGCCCAAAUUAAGACAUUUUGAUUUUAUAGCAUUUUAUAAGUACCUGAUUUUAGUAAAAUAAUAUAUAAUAUUUCUUACCAUGAAUAAACCUGAAUAUUAUCAUAAUUUUGUCAAGGAUUCUCUCUAGUUCUUCGUCUGUCGCUUCUUUAUUGCCCGCUCUUAACUUUGAAUCAACGUGCUUUGCUGCGAGAUUAAAAGCUUAGAUUAUGUCAGAGAUAAGCGGCCAUUACACAACACAUUUUCUAAAUUAGAAAAAAAGAACAUCUUUAAUUUCUACAAGAACUUUUCCAAAAUACUACUUUAUGACAGAAAAGGGAAAUAUCUAAUUUUCUAAUAUAGCUACUUUCAAAUCAUAUGAGAAUGCUCUCUAAAACUUUAACACAGCUAAAAAUUGAAUUUUUAAAGUUUGCUUAAAUAUCUUUUCUAAUUUCAGAGUAAAAAGAUAACUGAUUUAAUGAAUGUGUAUUGCUUUUACCAGCAAACUGAAGGCAUGUUCAAGGGCAGGGAACUUUAAAAAGACAUCAUGGUUCAUUUUAAGCAAGAGAAUUUGUUCUUUUAAGUAAAAGAGCCUUUAAAAAAUUUUAUAUUAUGUAAAAUAAGAAAAUCCUCACGUUUAAAAAUUACCCUGUUAAGUAAUUAUAUGGUUGGGUUUCAUAUUACAUUAUUGCUCCUGAUUCUGGAAUACCCUAUCUUCAAGAUGUGGUAUGAUAAACUCUGACCAGGUUUUCUCAAAGAGAAGGAAUUUUCUCAGGGCUUCAAGUGGUCAAAUUCAAGGGGACACUGUCUCGUCCCUGGGUACAGAGUAACAGUGAUUUUACUAGGCGCUUGUUUCCCAGGCUACACAGAUCAGCUAGGAGGGGCGGCUGAAGGGAGGGAGGAGGAAGGUACAGUUACAGGACCCAAGACCUCCAGAAGCCCAAAUUCCCAAGAACUAAACAUGAGGCUUCUUCUAGAGAAAUCACAAUCAAAAAAGUGGUGCAAAAGUAAAAUCAUAUUGCCUUGUGAAUUUGAAUUUCUUUUGUUGUUGUUGUUUUUUUUUUUUUAAUUUUUUAUGAUGGAAAAUGCUGAAGCUGUACAGAAGCAGACAGAUGUAUGAUGAGCGUGACAUCCCACUGCACACCUUCAACAAUCGUCAGUUCCUGUCUAACCCUGUAUCACGUGUAUCUCCUCGCCGCCCUUAUUCUUCUAUCCCUUUGCAGAGUAUCUGAGUAGUGAAAUUCUAGGAAUCCUGACAUACUUGGAUAUUACCAUGAAGUAACUGUAUAAAGUAAAAACUGUUCUCAUCUCAGUAUUUUCUAGUGGAUCUAUGAAUUUUCUAGGUUCCCUUUUCCUCAGGGAGUUAAAAGGCAUCUUCAGUCCAAUUUAAAAAGUGCUACCUUUGAGAUCUCAAUUUUAUUCUAUUUUAAUACUAAAUAGAGGAUGCAAAGACGGUGAUUAAGAAAUCUCAUUUUGAAUUUUAUCCAGAGGCUGAAGAAGUUGUCCUCAUAAUGCAGAAGUGUUCAUAUAUAAUAAACCUUCUCAAUCCAGUUUCUGCACACAAAUUAAUUGCUUGUAAUCAAGAUGGAGAAUUAAGUUGAUCUUUACAAAAUACAGCUCUGAAGCUGCUAGUCCAGUAAACGUAAAUUCAUAUCCUCUAAGGAACAAGGCCCACAUCAGCAGAACACUUUACUGGACCUUCUUUUGUGAGGUCAAGCUUCAUUUCUUUACAAGACUACUACACUCGCCUUGUGGAAGCACCACGUGUUUCUACUUGUGAAGACACGUGUGUGUAUACGGUUUUCUUUGAAAACAUGGGUCCUAAGAAGGUUUGAAUCAAGGCCUUCCUUCUCCCUUCCCAUGAAGAGCACGGACAUUUGGGGAAUAAAUUUGCUUGAGUUUUGCCUUAUUUUUCCAUAUUUAAGAAAUAUUAAAGAAAAAAUUUUUUUCUACCAAUCAAUUCUGCAGGCUUAUUUGGUCGCUUGUUGAUAAACGUUUCAAAGGAUUCCUUCAUCAAGUUGACAAAUUUUUCAUUUUUCUGGAAGCACACUUCUAUGAUGUGGUCCACUUUAUCCUUGAAAUCUAGCAGGUCUUGCACCAUAUCUUUAUCUUUUUCAGGAUUGAUAACUAUUGUUGUUCCAAAAGUCUAUAAAAACAAAUAAAUACCAAGUUGUCAACAAAUUUAUGAUACCAAAAAUUAUUUCUCUUGCUCUCGAACAAUCGUAAUAGUUUAAUAUAAACUACUUUUGGUAUUAAAUGUUAAGUAAUUUGAAAAGAGUUUUAUAAAUUUACUCCACGUUUUAAAAAUUGUUCAGUGACUAUAUAAUUAAUGGUUCAGUGUUACAAUGCCGUUUCUGGAAGAAUUUACAAGUCACUGGGAAAAUGUCCAUUGCUUUUUAAGAACUUUUACUUAAAAAUUCCCCUAGUAAAGAUUAAUGAGUAUGCCAUCACAGAGGAGUUCAGUGGCCAAGUACAUUUUAAAAAAUAUUGGGAAUGAAACAAGACAUGCAUAUUUCUAACCGCAGAAAGAGUUUUAUUCAUGAACGUGCACUGCGAAUCUUGGGACAAAGAUACGGUGUAUCUGACUGUGACAGGCCAUCCUACUUGAGUGGUGUUUUACAGCUAAUUCUUCUGUAAACACUGAGCCAGGUCAUACUUAUUUAGCCCUGGAACAGCCGCUCAUUUGACACAUCCUGAGAAGGUGCCUACCUUGCACCUGUUUGGAUUUCCAUACCAUAGUGUUCUUUCUCCUUCACUUCUAAUCAUGAACAGCUCCAGUUUUUGCCCUCUAUUUUUUAUUUAUAAACAUUAUAUUGAACAUUACUAAAAAUUUACCUGUGGCAACAAUAGUUAAUUGUUUGACAACGUAAACUACAAAGUGAAGAUGUGCUGAAUACAACUAUUAUUAAAUAUAUUUUUUGGAAAAACUGGUCUUAAUGGAAUAUGCACACAUACUUAGACAUCAUGUUUGCUAUGCAGGCAGAUUACCGGUGAAAAGACAGAAAGGAAACUGAUAUAAAUACCCUCUUGAGAGGGAAACUGUAUGACCUGCAGAGCUGGGGGGGAUUUACUUCUUAUUCUAUAGGCUUUUGUACUGACUGUAUGUUAAAUAAUACAUGUAUAUGACUUAAAAACACACACACACAAACCUUGUCUUAACAAGUUAACAUCAUGCCCACCGGUCAGUUUCCCAGGCUAUUUUUCAAUUAGAAGGGCCAGCUUUAUUUUGACGACAUGCUGUGUUGAACGCAGCUUUCCACUGUGUCAUGACACAGCUGCUUACGGUUGAUACAAACGAGUAACAGCCAUAAACCACCUCUGAUUUUUGCUACACAGAUUGAAAAUUGCAAAGGUGAACUCCCUGAGUUCAGCACAUAAUCUCUCUAAAGAAUACCUCAAUGGCAAGAAAACUUAUAAAUCUUCAUCAACUUUUCUUUAAAGCUUUAUUGCUGGUGUGGUAUAACUCAGUUAUGACUUUAAAUGUGACCAUACAAAAUCUUGAGGCUGUAUGUGCACAGGUUUUCCACAUGCAGACUUCAGGCUGAUUGUUCCAUAAGGCAACAGGCAAUCUUCUGUUUAUCUUUUUAUUUCAUUCAAAUUUUUGCAGAUAAUUAUAGAUUCAUAUAUAGCUGUAAGAAACAAUAUGGAGAGAUCCCACGUACUCUCUGCCCAGUUUCCUUCCCCCAGUGGUAACAUUUUGCAAAACUACAGUACAAUAUCGUAAACAGGAUAUUGACACUUGUACUCUUUAAUAAUCUUACUCAGAUUUCCCUAGUUUUAUUUGUGCUCAUUUGUGGGUAUAUUAAGUUCUGUACUUUUUUAUCACCUGUGUAGGUUCACGUGCCCACCAUCAAGGUCAAGGUACUGAACUGUUCCAACACCACAAGGAUUGUGCUGAUUUCCUUUUUAUAACCACACCUACAUCUCUUCCCUUUACCUAUCCCUAACAACGUGUUAACUAUUAGUCCUCCAUUUCUAAAUUUUGUCAUUUCAAAAAUAUUACAUAAAUGGAAUAAUACAGCAUGUAACCAUUUGGGGCAUAAUUUCCUGGAAGUUUUGUUUCUCUUUUUACCAUUGUCGUGUGCUGUUAAUUCUGACUCACAGCGACCCCAAAGGACAGAGCAGAACUGCCCCCUAGGGUUUCCAAGGAGCGGCUGGUUGAUCUGAAUUGCCGACCUUUUGGUUAGUAGCUCUUAACUGCUACGUCACCACGGCUCCAUUCAAGAGAUAUGCCAGGGAAAUUCUGAAGACCUAUCAGUGAAGUGGUACAAUGCACCUUAAUUGAUUAUAUGCAACUAAAAUGAUUACACCUCUUUUAAUAACUGAAAGGUGAUACCCAAGAAGCCUCUGUAUUUGGGUUGAAUUGGACAUUCUAUAUAUGUAGAAAAACAUGCUUUAAAAUGGAAGCUUAAAUAGUAUAUCCUAUAUUUGGGUUGCUAGGAAAUGUAUCAGCAUAUGGACCAACCUAAUAUUAACAUAGCAAAUGUCUGUAAGUUCACAUUUAGCAAAAACACGAGAAGAGCUCAGGUUUAAAAACAGAUUUCAAAAAACUACUAGCUUUUGAAAAUCAUGAUUGCAGAAUUAAACCAGUAUUAAUGCUGACGACAAAUGGCCAAAUGAUUGUUCUUUAAGACAUAUACUGGGAUGAUAUUCAUUACUGUUGGGGUCAUAUUAAAAAAAUAUAAAGUUAAAUAUUUAAAGAGGUGAUGUAGAAGGAAAAGGAAGACUACUGUCCUCUUUAUCAUCUAUGAUCAAAGAACAAAAGGUACUUCAAAAUACUUCAAUUCCUUCGCCAGGGCACUACGAGCACUUUGAAGGGAGAAGUCCUGCUCCCCGUCAGCACAGAGACCUAAGUACCUUGAUAUACUCGCUCCAGUGCUGCAGCAGUAUCUGCUGACCACCCUUCACCCGACUGAACAGCUGGUGCAUCUGUGUGAGGUCGGGCACUCUAUUCUCAUCAAGUAAGUGAUCGAGCCCUGAAAUUAUACAGUAAAUGUUAACGCGUUACAUUGGUAAAUCAACAUUAAUGAAAACUGAACUAGAAUAUGCUCCCAAAAAAGGUUAAUACAUAAUUUAGAAAUUUAGGGAGUAUACACAAGUGGGUCUAGUUGAAUAUCUUGAGAUCGAUUCUAUUAGGUGAAUCUCAUUUCCUGAGCUUGUUGGGAGAU